rfam:Schistosoma margrebowiei strain Zambia genome assembly, scaffold: SMRZ_contig0000290
AUUCGGCUGACAAGUCCCAAAUAGGACGAAAGGCGCUUACUGGAU